rnacentral:rRNA from 1 species
UUAAAUUGAAGAGUUUGAUCAUGGCUCAGAUUGAACGCUGGCGGCAGGCCUAACACAUGCAAGUCGAACGGUAACAGGAAACAGCUUGCUGUUUCGCUGACGAGUGGCGGACGGGUGAGUAAUGUCUGGGAAACUGCCUGAUGGAGGGGGAUAACUACUGGAAACGGUAGCUAAUACCGCAUAACGUCGCAAGACCAAAGAGGGGGACCUUCGGGCCUCUUGCCAUCGGAUGUGCCCAGAUGGGAUUAGCUAGUAGGUGGGGUAACGGCUCACCUAGGCGACGAUCCCUAGCUGGUCUGAGAGGAUGACCAGCCACACUGGAACUGAGACACGGUCCAGACUCCUACGGGAGGCAGCAGUGGGGAAUAUUGCACAAUGGGCGCAAGCCUGAUGCAGCCAUGCCGCGUGUAUGAAGAAGGCCUUCGGGUUGUAAAGUACUUUCAGCGGGGAGGAAGGGAGUAAAGUUAAUACCUUUGCUCAUUGACGUUACCCGCAGAAGAAGCACCGGCUAACUCCGUGCCAGCAGCCGCGGUAAUACGGAGGGUGCAAGCGUUAAUCGGAAUUACUGGGCGUAAAGCGCACGCAGGCGGUUUGUUAAGUCAGAUGUGAAAUCCCCGGGCUCAACCUGGGAACUGCAUCUGAUACUGGCAAGCUUGAGUCUCGUAGAGGGGGUAGAAUUCCAGGUGUAGCGGUGAAAUGCGUAGAGAUCUGGAGGAAUACCGGUGGCGAAGGCGGCCCCCUGGACGAAGACUGACGCUCAGGUGCGAAAGCGUGGGGAGCAAACAGGAUUAGAUACCCUGGUAGUCCACGCCGUAAACGAUGUCGACUUGGAGGUUGUGCCCUUGAGGCGUGGCUUCCGGAGCUAACGCGUUAAGUCGACCGCCUGGGGAGUACGGCCGCAAGGUUAAAACUCAAAUGAAUUGACGGGGGCCCGCACAAGCGGUGGAGCAUGUGGUUUAAUUCGAUGCAACGCGAAGAACCUUACCUGGUCUUGACAUCCACGGAAGUUUUCAGAGAUGAGAAUGUGCCUUCGGGAACCGUGAGACAGGUGCUGCAUGGCUGUCGUCAGCUCGUGUUGUGAAAUGUUGGGUUAAGUCCCGCAACGAGCGCAACCCUUAUCCUUUGUUGCCAGCGGUCCGGCCGGGAACUCAAAGGAGACUGCCAGUGAUAAACUGGAGGAAGGUGGGGAUGACGUCAAGUCAUCAUGGCCCUUACGACCAGGGCUACACACGUGCUACAAUGGCGCAUACAAAGAGAAGCGACCUCGCGAGAGCAAGCGGACCUCAUAAAGUGCGUCGUAGUCCGGAUUGGAGUCUGCAACUCGACUCCAUGAAGUCGGAAUCGCUAGUAAUCGUGGAUCAGAAUGCCACGGUGAAUACGUUCCCGGGCCUUGUACACACCGCCCGUCACACCAUGGGAGUGGGUUGCAAAAGAAGUAGGUAGCUUAACCUUCGGGAGGGCGCUUACCACUUUGUGAUUCAUGACUGGGGUGAAGUCGUAACAAGGUAACCGUAGGGGAACCUGCGGUUGGAUCACCUCCUUACCUUAAAGAAGC